rnacentral:rRNA from 1 species
UACAUGGGGUGCAAACGUUGCUCGGAAUUAUUGGGCGUAAAGCGCACGUAGGCGGUUCGUUAAGUCGGAUGUGAAAGCCCUCGGCUCAACUGAAGAAGUGCACCCGAAACUGGCGAGCUUGAGUACGAAAGAGGAUCGCGGAAUUCCCGGUGUAGAGGUGAAAUUCGUAGAUAUCGGGAGGAACACCGGUGGCGAAGGCGGCGAUCUGGGUCGAUACUGACGCUGAGGUGCGAAAGCGUGGGGAGCAAACAGG